CUCUGACAUAGACUGGGGGUUGGUAAGGUAGACCUGAGGCUCUGACACAGGCUGGGGGUUGGUAAGGUAGACCUGAGGCUCUGACACAGGCUGGGGGUUGGUAAGGUAGACCUGAGGCCCUGACACAGGCUGGGGGUUGGUAAGGUAGACCUGAGGCUCUGACACAGGCUAGGGGUUGGUAAGGUAGACCUGAGGCUCUGACACAGGCUGGGGGUUGGUAAGGUAGACCUGAGGCUCUGACACAGGCUGGGGGUUGGUAAGGUAGACCUGAGGCUCUGACAUAGGCUGGGGGUUGGUAAGGUAGACCUG